rnacentral:rRNA from 1 species
GCAGCCGCGGUAAUACGGAGGGUGCAAGCGUUAAUCGGAAUUACGGGGCGUAAAGGGUGCGUAGGUGGUUUCUUAAGUCAGAGGUGAAAGGCUACGGCUCAACCGUAGUAAGCCUUUGAAACUGGGGAACUUGAGUGCAGGAGAGGAGAGUGGAAUUCCUAGUGUAGCGGUGAAAUGCGUAGAUAUUAGGAGGAACACCAGUUGCGAAGGCGGCUCUCUGGUCUGUAACUGACGCUGAGGCUCGAAAGCGUGGGGAGC